UCAGUCCGAAAAUACUUGUCAUCAAAAUGAAUAAAAGGGGAUGUAUCUAGAUGUAUUUUAAUUCUAGAUACAUCCCUUUUUUUAUCCAUUUUGAUGACAAGUAUUUUCGGAUGGA
rnacentral:pre_miRNA from 1 species